rfam:Candidatus Woesebacteria bacterium RBG_16_36_11 RBG_16_scaffold_13, whole genome shotgun sequence.
GCGUUCGUAGCUCAACUGGAUAGAGCGUCAGGUUGCGGACUUGAAGGUUGUGAGUUCGACUCUCACCGGACGCA